AAUAUUAGUCAAUGCUCGCAAGAGUGAACUAGCUAACUGAAAUCACAGGAUCCAUUACGUGUGGUGAAUGUUAUAACGUAAGGGAAAAAAAUGAUAUUACCUUACUAUUAGUGUUGUCCAAAACUGGUGCCAGAAGACUCGGUAAGGCCAGAAACGCAAACGUUAGUCGUCUUAAUCAGGCGUAAAGGGUAUGUAGGCUGCUUUAAAAGUUAUAUAUUUAAAUAGCUCUGUUAAAAAAAAAUAAUAUUUUAAAAUAUUAAAAUAAUUUAACAGUAAAAUAUAAACGAAUUAAAGCUAGAAUCAAAUUGAGGAUAAUUAAAAUAAUACUUAGUGUAGGGUUUGAAUCUGGUGAUACUAGGGGGAAUACUAACGGUGAAAGCUUUUUAUCUAGAAAUGAUUGACGCUGAGAAACGAAGGUGAGAAUAGGAAAUAGGAUUAGAUACCCAGAUACCUCUCACAGUCAACGAUGAAUGGUGGUUGUUAGUUAGUUUAACUUAACUGAUAACGAUGUUAACACGAUAACCAUUCCGCCUUGCGAGUACGGUUGCAAAACUGAAACCAAAAAAAUUAGUCGGUCUCGAAGCAAACGAAGUGAAGCAUGUUAUUUAAUUCGAUAAUCCGCA
rnacentral:rRNA from 1 species